GGAGAGGUGCUUGAGUGGCUUAAGAGGCACGCCUGGAAAGCGUGUAUACCCCAAAAGGGUAUCGAGGGUUCGAAUCCCUCUCUCUCCG
rnacentral:tRNA from 1 species